GUCUUCUGCAUAUUUAAGGAUUGGAAAAAUUCAGUCUCCUCUCAGAGAUUCGAACUUCUGGCUUGUGGAAAAGUUGAGGUCUGCACAAGAAGAAUACAGUCUCAAGCUUUUCCCCUAUAUUGGAAAGAAUGUGAUUGACUAGGUAGGACUGUCAGGCCAACAGCAAGAAGCAAGCUCCACCUCAGAUCAUCAGGCAUUAGAUUCUGGAAGCUGCAAAGCCCUGCUAAAGGGAUCAUGGCGAUGCAUCACCGUCCUCUGUUGGAAAAUCACUGUUUCCAAAAGUCACUUAAGGUCAAAAAGUUGAGUAUUGGCACCUUCAUCUGGUUCAAAGAGAGCCACCUUCAUCUAAAAAAAUGCAUUUCAAAUUGUCACCUAAAAAUAGAAAUAUUGGGCUUGUGUAUAUCCUGCUGUGAGCCAUUGGCCUGA
rnacentral:lncRNA from 1 species